CCUACGGGUGGCAGCAGUGGGGAAUAUUGCACAAUGGGGGAAACCCUGAUGCAGCGACGCCGCGUGAAGGAAGAAGUCUUUCGGUAUGUAAACUUCUAUCAGCAGGGAAGAAAAUGACGGUACCUGACUACGAAGCCCCGGCUAACUACGUGCCCGCAGCCGCGGUAAUACGUAGGGGGCAAGCGUUCUCCGGAUUUACUGGGUGUAACGGGAGCGUAGGCGGCGAUGCAAGUCAGAAGUGAAAGCCCGGGGCGCAACUCCGGGACUGCUUUUGAAACUGGAUGGCUAGAUUGCAGGAGAGGCAAGUGGAAUUCCUAGUGUAGCGGUGAAAUGCGUAGAUAUUAGGAGGAACACCAGUGGCGAAGGCGGCUUGCUGGACUGUAAAUGACGCUGAGGCUCGAAAGCGUGGGGAGCAAACAGGAUUAGAUACCCUUGUAGUC
rnacentral:rRNA from 1 species